rnacentral:tRNA from 1 species
GGGCCGGUGGUCUAGUGGUAUGACACCUCCUUGACGUGGAGGCGGUCGCCGGUUCGAUCCCGGCCCGGCCCACCA